UAACUAAAUUAUGGACUAUUUUGACUUGAUUUCCAACUCAAAAUUUUAAUUUAAUUAUCCAGGCUUUCAAUUUGUUUUAUUUGAGUUAAUCAACGAUACUUUGACGCUAAAACAAAAACUAAGGUCAUAUUUGAAUAUCAGAAUAAAUAAUCUCAGUAUGAGAAUAUUUUUGUGUGUCCGCAGGCUAAGAUUUUAAUAUUUUUUUAUUCAUUAAAUAGUUUUAUUUUAUUGUAAA
rnacentral:lncRNA from 1 species